rnacentral:tRNA from 1 species
UGAUGUGGCUCAAUGGCAGAGCAGCUCAUUCGUAAUGAGCAGGUUGGAGGUUCGAUUCCUCUCAUCA